AGGAGUGGCACUUUUUGAAAUACGGGAGCGUGAUUGUCGUGAUGGAUCUACAACAAUCAUUGCUCCCGUAGAAGUUUUCGCCACCCCUGAA
rnacentral:pre_miRNA from 1 species